rfam:Capsicum annuum cultivar Zunla-1 chromosome 9, whole genome shotgun sequence
ACCUUAUUUGUGUCUCUGCAGUAAAUAUGGACGAGAAUCAUUUGUAGGCUUUAGGUGUCAGUUAAGAAUUAUCAGGUUGCCCAUAAGAACCCUACUAACACUG